GACAGAGGGGGCAAGCGUUGCUCGGAAUUACUGGGCGUAAAGGGCGCGUAGGCGGGAUGGCAAGUCGGUCGUGAAAUCCUUCGGCUCAACCGAAGAACGUCGAUCGAUACUGCUGUUCUUGAGGGUUGCAGAGGAGACUGGAAUUCCUGGUGUAGCGGUGGAAUGCGCAGAUAUCAGGAGGAACACCGAUGGCGAAGGCAGGUCUCUGGGCCAUUACUGACACUGAGAAGCGAAAGCAUGGGGAGCGAACAGG
rnacentral:rRNA from 1 species